GCCAUGCUGACCUUCUGCUUCGACAAUGUGCGACACAUCCAGUCCUUGGCUCAUCCUCAGCAUCACUGUCCCAUACUCAAAGUCAAACGCAUCACUGUCAAAGAGAGGAGGAGGACACCAGCUCAACACACAGAUCUCGUAUCUAUGCCAGGUGAGACAGAGUCCAAAGUUCUUAGAGAGGGAGUGAGCCAGGUCCAGGAGAGCCGGUCUGGUCCGUACUGAUCCAGUCAGUGCUAAGAUCUGAGGCCUGGGAAAGAAACAGUGAUGCAAUGCAGACUUUUACCUGAAGUUCUUGACAUGAUCGUCUACAGCAGACAGAGACAGAGCGUUGCUGACUGCACUCACAAAGGUCACCGCCUGUGUGGAUGAACCCCAGUUCACAUCUACAGAGAAAAUCAGAGUCCUAACAGCCUGCCUGACCAAAAACCCAGGACAGACGGAUGAACAACAUGACACCCCAGAUGUUCAGCAUGCAUCUCACCUGUGGAAGAGAAGAACAAUUCACUACUUCUAUGGGUGUCGGGAUUUAUUAUCAUGUCAAGUAAGUGACAGAAACACAAUAAUGUUAAUAAGAUGCAAACU